ACAAAAACCCUAAGCCGGCAACCUUGCACCACUCAGACCACCGGAGAUCGUUGUUGUGUUGAGCCGGAGUCACCGCGUGAAUCAUCCUCACCGGAGAGAUCUGUGCCACUCCGCUGUUCCAACCGCCAAGCAAACCGUAAGGGAGACUCGUCGAGAAAAGUCACCGAGAAAGAUUGAGAUCGUUAUUGGACCUUUUCUUGUUGCUGUUAUUUCGAAACCGUGUUAUCCAACCGAGUUGCUAAGGUGAGGAAGAGAAUGUUGAGUAGCUGCUCGUUUGGUGUUAUUUCGGGAACUUUGGGUUUUAUUUGAUUUAUCGAUAUUUCUUAUAUUUCUAAACACGGUUUCUUUAUACAUUUUUAUCCAACGAUUUUAAUUUAUUUAUGCUAUUAUUUUGAGAC